UACGGAGGGUGCAAACGUUGCUCGGAAUCAUUGGGCGUAAAGCGCGCGUAGGCGGCCCAGUAAGUCCGUUGUAAAAGUCAAAGGCUCAACCUUUGAAAGCCGAUGGAUACUGCUGGGCUAGAGUCCGGAAGAGGCGAGUGGAAUUCCUGGUGUAGCGGUGAAAUGCGCAGAUAUCAGGAGGAACACCAAUGGCGAAGGCAGCUCGCUGGGACGUGACUGACGCUGAGGCACGAAGGCCAGGGGAGCAAACGGG
rnacentral:rRNA from 1 species